UACGGGGGGAGCAAGCGUUGUUCGGAUUUACUGGGCGUAAAGGGCGCGUGAGGCGGCCACCGCAAGUCGGUUGUGAAAUCUCCGGGCUUAACCCGGAAAGGUCAAUCGAUACUGCGGGGCUAGAGUGCAGAAGGGGCAACUGGAAUUCUCGGUGUAGCGGUGAAAUGCGUAGAUAUCGAGAGGAACACCUGCGGCGAAGGCGGGUUGCUGGGCUGACACUGACGCUGAAGCGCGAAAGCUAGGGGAGCGAACGGG
rnacentral:rRNA from 1 species